CCAAAAUACAAAUCCAUUCUCAACACACACUGACAACAUGCUGGUGACUCUCUGUGCUCUCGUCACUGCUCUAACAUGUGUGAGUGGUGUGACGGUGGUGACACAGAAACCUCCUGUUUUAUCAGUGAGGAAAGGAGAGACAGCCACGAUGGACUGUAACCUGGGGACUGUUACUGGCAGUGCUGCUUAUUGGUAUAAACAGAUUCCAGGAGGAGUUCCUCAGUAUGUGCUGAGGUUUUAUCAUGGCUGGAGUUCUCCAAACUAUGGCUCUGGGUUCUCCUCACCAAAAUUUACAUCCACUCAUCAGUCAACAUCAGAUUAUCGUUUGAUCAUCAACAAUGUGGAGGAGGGAGACUCUGCAGUCUAUUACUGUAAGACAUGGGACAGCUCUGCUGCUGUAUCACAGUGAUUUACACUGUGACAAAAACCUCCCCACUGAUACUUCUGCUUUUUGAUGCUCUUUUUUUCACAUGCUGACAAAA